GAGUCACAACCCCCACCAGCCACUUAAUACAGACAUUUGCCAGUGAAUCAUAGUUGUCAUCAACUUGAAGUUGACAGAGGGAUACAAUGGAAAUACGCCAAACUCAUCCUCCUCCUUCAUCCUAUCUUGGAUGGUCCAUCUUUAAUACUUUUUGCUGUUGUCUGCCUCUCGGGAUUGCAGCUAUUAUCUAUUCUAGCAAGGUAGAGUCGGCAAAUGGACGCGGAGACAUUGACAGAGCUCAAGAUGCAUCACAAACAGCCAAGAUGCUGAACAUCGCCGGACUCAUCUGUGGAAUAAUUAUUAUCAUCAUUUAUGUCUCCAUCAAAUUAACUGAACCAAAGUGAAGGUUCUGGUAUUUCCCAGAAGGCGCACUGCAAUCCCAGCCAUUUUAUGCCCUCUGCUUUCGCUUUUCAGCAUUCACCAUAUGGACUGACGUCUUUAUGUGUGGCGUUUACGUUACCAAUAAAAAGCAGAACAAUUCUUUGCUUUCAUGGUGCAAGCCAAAAAUACGAACAAAUGAGAAACCUCAAUUAAGUUUUGAUUUUCAUGUGCAUAAACUUGAUUUUUUGGAUUUAUUGCUUAAUUUGCUUAGAUUUUUUUUUUCAAGUAAUCUCUUGAAGAAAGCUGAGGAGGAAAAAAAUAAAUAUUUAACCCCCCAAAAAUUUGGCGUCAUAAAACACAAUAUGAACUUUUUAUUGUUUUAUUGUUGAUACUGUUAUUGUUGGUCUCAUUGCAUUUACCGUUUACAAUUUUAUUUUUGGAGAUUUGUUUUUCUGUUUGUACAACCCCUUCAGAUGGCAUUAUAAUAAAUGCACAGUUUGUCAGACACA